AUGGAGGGACCCGGCUGGCAGCGGGCGGGCCCCUGCGGGACACUAGGCAAACGACAGCCCCACCCCGGCCAGUCCCCGCCGCAGCCCGGCUCGGGAGAUGGGCCGGGUCCCCGCCCCCAUCCCACCCCCGCGCCCUGGGGCGCAGGCCGGAGAGCCAACACCCUGCCUCAGCGGCUCGGUGCGUCCGGGUGGGGCGCAGGGGGCAGGCCUGGAAGGUCGGGGUUGCUGCGUGACCUUGGCCAGAAGCCAAAGCUCUCCAGGGAACCAGAAGGCCCCUAGGGGAUGGCAGAGCCCUGAGAAGGGAGAAACCUGGAUCCCUGAAGAGCUAGCUGGAAGCCCGCCCUCUGGUUGUGCUUUUCUGUAGCAAAGGCACUUGGUGUAUUAGUUUUCUUUUGUGUAAAAAUGAUCCCUAGACUGGCAUAAAAACAGACAUGAAGACCAGUGGAACAGAACAAAGACCCAGAUAUCCACACAGCUACACCCACCUGAUUUUUUUUUUUACAAAGGCACCCAAAACAUACGAUGAAGAAACAGCAGCCUUUUCAACAAAUGUUGCUGGGAAAACUGGGUAUUUGCAUGCAGAAAAUUGAAACUAGAUCCAUGUCUCUCAUCCUGUAUAAAAAAGUGGAUUAAGGACCUUCAUAUAAGGCCUGAAACUCUGAAGCUGGUGCAGGAAAGAGCAGGGAAUACACUGGAAUUAAUAGCCACAGGCAAGGACUUCCUCAAGAGAACUCCAGUGGCUCAGCAACCAAGAGAACGGAUUGACAAAUGGGACUACUUGAAAUUAAAAAGCUUCUGCACAACAAAAGAAAUGGUCUCCAGACUGAAGAGACUACCCACAGAAUGGGAGAAAAUCUUUGCAGCUAUACAUCAGACAAGGGAUUAAUAAUAAGAAUAUACAAGGAGCUCAAACAACUAAACUCCCUAAAAAUCAAUGAGCCAAUGAAGAAAUGGGCAAAUGAACUGAACAGGACCUUUUCAAGGAAGAAGUCCAAAUGGCUAAAAAUCACAUGAAAAAAUGUUCACCAUCUCUGGCCACAAAGGAAAUGCAAAUCAAAACCGCAUUAAGAUUCCACCUCACCCCUGUUAGAAUGGCUACCAUCAAGAACACCACCACCAACAAAUGUUGGCAAGGACAUGGGGAAAAAGGAACCCUCAUACACUGCUGGUAGGAAUGCAAGCUGGUGCAACCACUUUGGAAAACAGUGUGGAGGCUUCUUAAAGAACUAAACAUAGAAUUGCCAUAUGACCCAGCACCACCACUCCUAGGAAUAUACCCAAAGGAAUGUAAGUCAGGUCACAAUAAAGACACCAUGUUUAUUCA
rnacentral:lncRNA from 1 species